AUCGAACGCUGGCGGCAGGCCUAACACAUGCAAGUCGAGCGAGCGGCGGACGGGUGAGUAAUGUAUGGGGACUGCCCGAUAGAGGGGGAUAACUACUGGAUACGGUAUCUAAUACCGCAUACUAUCGGAUUACCCAUAGGGUAUUAGCUAGUGGGUGAGGUAAUGGCUCACCUAGGCGACGAUCCCUAGCUGGUCUGAGAGGAUGAUCAGCCACACUGGGACUGAGACACGGCCCAGACUCCUACGGAGGCAGCAGUGGGGAAUAUUGCACAAUGGGCGCAAGCCUGAUGCAGCAAUGCCGCGUGUAUGAAGAAGGCCCUAGGGUUGUAAAGUACUUUCAGUCGGGAGGCGGUACCGAAAGAAGAAGCACCGGCUAACUCCGUGCCAGCAGCCGCGGUAAUUC
rnacentral:rRNA from 1 species